rnacentral:rRNA from 1 species
CGAGACUCAGUGAAAUUGAAAUCGCUGUGAAGAUGCAGUGUACCCGCGGCUAGACGGAAAGACCCCGUGAACCUUUACUACAGCUUGGCACUGAACAUUGAACCUACAUGUGUAGGAUAGGUGGGAGGCUAUGAAGACGUGACGCCAGUUGCGUUGGAGCCGUCCUUGAAAUACCACCCUUGUAUGUUUGAUGUUCUAACUUAGACCCGUUAUCCGGGUUGAGGACAGUGCCUGGUGGGUAGUUUGACUGGGGCGGUCUCCUCCCAAAGAGUAACGGAGGAGCACGAAGGUGGGCUAAUCACGGUUGGACAUCGUGAGGUUAGUGCAAUGGCAUAAGCCGCUUAACUGCGAGAAUGACGGUUCGAGCAGGUGCGAAAGCAGGUCAUAGUGAUCCGGUGGUUCUGUAUGGAAGGGCCAUCGCUCAACGGAUAAAAGGUACUCCGGGGAUAACAGGCUGAUACCGCCCAAGAGUUCAUAUCGACGGCGGUGUUUGGCACCUCGAUGUCGGCUCAUCACAUCCUGGGGCUGAAGUCGGUCCCAAGGGUAUGGCUGUUCGCCAUUUAAAGUGGUACGCGAGCUGGGUUUAGAACGUCGUGAGACAGUUCGGUCCCUAUCUGCCGUGGGCGU